rnacentral:rRNA from 1 species
UACGGAGGAUGCAAGCGUUAUCCGGAAUGAUUGGGCGUAAAGCGUCCGCAGGUGGCUGUGUAAGUCUGCUGUCAAAGAGCAAAGCUCAACUUUGUAAAGGCAGUGGAAACUACACGGCUAGAGUGCGUUCGGGGCAGAGGGAAUUCCUGGUGUAGCGGUGAAAUGCGUAGAGACCAGGAAGAACACCGGUGGCGAAAGCGCUCUGCUAGGCCGCAACUGACACUGAGGGACGAAAGCUAGGGGAGCGAAUGGG